AUGCGUCUGCAAGACGUACUGGUUCGAGUUUGCCUUUGGCCAUCGCUGACUAACAAACUAGACAAAGUUUUCUCAGCACGGUGCGAUCAGAGCACACUCUGCAGGCUCACAUCUUUAAAAUGUGUUAUAGUAAGAGUUACGCUGCCCUUAGCCCUCCGCAGAGCGCCCUCCGUCACCCCGAGACACUCGGCCCACCGCCCUCGCCGCUUUUUGAAACCGUCCUGGAAGUCCUUCCCCAUGAGUGUCUUUAUGAGGCCUGACACAAAACAGAGGGAAUGCGGCUGCUUGGUGCCAUUCAGCAGAAAGGCAGGCCCUCAAAAACACUGCGGUGUGUCUUCAUUCUCCUCAUUCACAGGAUGUGGUGCCGUGUGAUUUCUGGCUCUUUGCCGAAGGAAAAGUGACCAUGAAAGGUGAGCAUCUUGAAUCAGUUUGGGACAUUGAGGCAGUCAUGACAACACAGCUAAAGACAUGAAGGAAGACUUCCUACUCAGAAAGCGGAGGCAACGAUGCAAUAGGUCUGCUCACUGCAAGGAAAAGUAUUUUGGAAGAAAUUAUUGGCAGUAAGCCCUUUAUUAUAUAACAAUUUUCAAAAUUUAAUCGCCAUAUUUCUCUUUUUUCUUUUGGUUCUUAUUUGUGCAUGUUUACAGUUCACAAUGAUUGCAUUCAUCGUGGGGAGCUGACACGUGGGCAGGACACAUCUUAAUUCUUCUUGGGUACCUUUUCCCUCCCCACCACUGUGUUUUUCA
rnacentral:lncRNA from 1 species